GACGAACGCUGGCGGCGUGCUUAACACAUGCAAGUCGAGCGGUAAGGCCCUUUCGGGGGUACACGAGCGGCGAACGGGUGAGUAACACGUGGGUGACCUGCCCUCAGCUCUGGGAUAAGCCCGGGAAACUGGGUCUAAUACCGGAUAUGACUCCAUGACGCAUGUUGUGGGGUGGAAAGCCUUGUGCGGCUGAGGAUGGGCCCGCGGCCUAUCAGCUUGUUGGUGGGGUGAUGGCCUACCAAGGCGACGACGGGUAGCCGGCCUGAGAGGGCGACCGGCCACACUGGGACUGAGAUACGGCCCAGACUCCUACGGGAGGC
rnacentral:rRNA from 1 species